GUCCCUGUAGCGCAAUGGUUAGCGCAUUGGACUUCUAAUCCAAAGGUCGUGGUUUCGAAUCCCAUGUGCGAUG